rnacentral:rRNA from 1 species
CCAGACUCCUACGGGAGGCAGCAGUGGGGGAUAUUGCACAAUGGGGGAAACCCUGAUGCAGCGACGCCGCGUGAGUGAAGAAGUAAUUCGUUACGUAAAGCUCUAUCAGCAGGGAAGAAAAUGACGGUACCUGACUAAGAAGCCCCGGCUAACUACGUGCCAGCAGCCGCGGUAAUACGUAGGGGGCAAGCGUUAUCCGGAAUUACUGGGUGUAAAGGGAGCGCAGACGGCAGUGCAAGUCUGGAGUGAAAGCCCGUGGCUUAACCACGGGACUGCUCUGGAAACUGUGCAGCUAGAGUGCAGGAGAGGCAGGCGGAAUUCCUAGUGUAGCGGUGAAAUGCGUAGAUAUUAGGAGGAACACCGGUGGCGAAGGCGGCCUGCUGGACUGUAACUGACGUUGAGGCUCGAAAGCGUGGGGAGCAAACAGGAUUAGAUACCCGAGUA